rnacentral:lncRNA from 1 species
CCCAUCCAGAUCCCGCCGCCCCAACCCUCUCACCCUUCCCAUCCACAGGGAGCCCCGCCUUUUCCCGGCGAGUCGCACCGCCCCAACCCUCUCCCACCCUCAUCUCGUAGCUCCCCUUCCCUUCAUCAUGCUCGGGCUCCCUCCCUCUUCUGCGGCCUGGACCCAUGUGCUUGGCGGAGCCGUGGCGGGGGAGCUUUACCGGCUACGUCGUCGUGGGUUCACCGGAGUGAAACGCCGGACUUUUUCGGGAGAAGACGCUGUUGCGACGCCUCUCUGCCAUCACCGGUGCUGCCAUUUUCAUCGGGCGUCGUGUGCGACCCACAACAUUGGGGACACACCAGUUUCGUCGGUCGAUUCACACCCAACUCCAUCCCCGCUUCUUCCCUCGAGCCAGCGAUAGCUGUUCUAUUCCAUCCCCGUUUAAUUUUGAGUACUGGAGUCCAAGGCGAGCGCAACUAUGGCAGGGAAUGAGGUACAUUUUCCACUCCAUUCAGUAAACAAUUCUAUUUCUGUCACGCUCACUUUGCAGUUAGAUUAUUAUUUACAAUCUAAGUUUGAGUAGGUGCGUGGGAUGAAUCCAUCAAUUAUUGUAUUUGGCCUGCUCUCCCAAGCUGCUGCCUCGAGGUCGCCAUACUUCGCAAAAAUCAUGACGGUGCUGCGUUGUGCUCACCAUGCCCAGAAAUUGGGGGUCACGAGGAGGAAGACAAUGGCACGCACGAGGAAAUUAGAGACGGCGGUGGCACCAAACAUUACUUGAGCCUGAUCGUUUUUUUUUUGCUAGCUUAGCGUUUUGCUUUCAUAGGUUUGGAGCUCUAAAUUUAAGCUUUUCGUCUGAAUCUUCAUUUGAUCCACAGGCUUCUGAUCGUUCUGAACAAAUGCUUCAACUCUUUGUUGUUUCAUUUGAUUUUUGGAAGUUCAUUAGAUUUUGGUAAGUUGUUUGAUUUCCCUUAAUCGAUUUCUGAAUCUCCUCCCUUCUUUAGUGGAGCUCCCUGCAAGUGUUGUUUUAAUUCAUGGUUAAAUUCUAUUUUGGUGUUGGCUGUUGAGAAUAUCAGAUGAGACAAGCAAUGGAAUGGACUGUGUGGACAAUCACAGGAAUGGUGUUCCGUGGAUAGGUCAUGUGUUGGAGAGGGAACGACACGUUGCAGCAGCGAGAGGUCUUGCCUCUUUUCUGCUGUUCUUGCUUCUCCCCUAUGAUUUUUUAGUUGGUUGUCUUGGAGAGGAAACGACAAGCUGCAGCAGCCAGAGUAGUAGGAGAAGCAGCUUCAACUCCCACGGCAUGUUCUACAUUUUUCUGCACUGAUGUAUUUGUUAUGGUCCAACUGAAUUAGUUUUGACUGCAUCUUAUUCUCUGUAGUCUCUGAGAUUUGUUCUCUAGUUCAAACUGUGCGUCAACUGUUCAAAUGAAUGUCUUAAUUAAAAGAACACUGUUUGAUGGAAUGCCAGAAAAGAAUGCACGUCUUUUUCCUGGCUAAAAAUUCGUUCAGAGUGUUCUGUUUUUUCUAUCUGGUAAAUUUCAUUGGCCUCAGAGUUGAUUCCCUCUUUUAAUUCAUUUGGUGUGGUUUUCUAAAUGAAGAAGCAGAACCAUUUUGGUUGUUAUUCACUACUGCUCCUCAUGGUC